rnacentral:lncRNA from 1 species
GUAGUAUAUUUAUCUUAUAUUAAGAGGAAUUUAACUAAGAUUUGGACAAUUAUUUUUAGCCCAAUGUUAAGGCCCAAAUUUGAAGCCCAGACACCUUACCCAUGCCCAAUUACCCAUCAGAUUUGCUUUUGGAAAAAAACCCUAAACCUUUAUCAUCUUCUCCCUUAACCUAAAAAUACACACAAGACACAUACAAAAAAGGGCAGCCAUCUUCGUCUACAAGACAACAACAAACCCUAGAGGACCAAGAGACAACAAAUCGGCGUCCCACCCUACCCCUACUCUCUAAGAGCUUAGACCCCUACCCCAUCGGCUCCCGUCUUCUUCUUUUUCAGAACCUAUAGCUGCCGCUGCUAGCCUCUAACCUGCUGGAAAUCAGCCGUUCCUGCUCCUCCAUCUUCAACCAAAAAUGGCAGAACCUUGAUUCCACCAACCAAAACAGCCAUUACUCCUCUUCACCACCCCGUUUCCCGUCGUCAAACCACCUUCACCACCCCUUCAUAGCCGCUGCCUGUCACCCCACUCCCUCAUCUCAAAACUUGUUGCUUCUUCACCUUCAACCCAACCGUAGACCCUCCCCAAAUCAACGACUGGCUUCUUCUGCUUCUUCGUCUCCAUCAUCUUCUUUGGAUUUCGAUUUUCAUUUUGCAAUAUAGAAUUAGCUUGAGUGUCAGAUGUUUUGUAUGCGGGUGGUGCCCGUUGUUCGGGUUCAUGUUCGAGGUUCACGGAGUAACUUCCGAUUGCUGUUUUUCCAUCCCAGUUCGUGCUGUGAUUUGCUCGAUUUUGGCUCAAGGGUCUUGUAUAACAUUCGAGUAUCGAAGGAAAUCUGAUAACUCCUUUUGAGGUUCAUUUCUCAUUUUGUUCUCGCUUUAGAUUUUGUAUGUGCUUGUGAUUGAUUUUUUUUGUGACACGAAAUUUGUUUGUUCUUUGUUUGCAACUCUUAAUCCAGAAAAUGAAUAACAUAUUGGUUAAAGAAGUAAGUUCAUACCAUGACCCGAAGCUAGAAAACAGAAUAACAUACAUAAAAUGCAUCGUGCCUAUUUAUUCGGCUUCUCCUUUCUAAGUGUACUUACUAGAAAAAGUUUUUGUAUAAGUUUAGAUGUCAUUCAAAUAAUUGAUGAUGCACUUUAGAUUGGAAAAGAAACUGUAUUGAAAGAGAGGUAGAAAGGAUAUACGGGGUUUGAAUAUCAUAAGAUAACUAAAAGAAAUUGGACUUGAAAUGAGUCCGUUACUUUACUUUAUUUACUUUAUUUUUAUUUCUCGGGUAGGCAAAUCGUAGGUCGCUUGUUUUGUUUCAUUCAAGGCGGGAGGUCAUUUCUUUUAGUUUAUUAUCUGGUGAAUGCCUCGCGCAAUUUGUAUAUAUUUUUAUCCGGGGUAUGCCCCGAAAUAUUUGUAUUUGGAGGCCGAAAGUAGAACUUGUAGUAUUUUUAUUUUCAUUUUUCUUUUAUUAGAUGGGGACGACUUCGAGCCUGUUGUGUGUUCGUUUUUCCUUUUAUGUGUAUUUUACCUUAAUUUGACCAUUUUAAAAGUCAACUAGAUCGAGUACGCAACCGUACUAGUUACGGAACUCGGGGAAUGCCUAACACCUUCUCCCCGAGUCAAAUGAACCCCCUUACCCGAAUCUCUGGUGCAGACUUAGUUUGGAGUCCAAGGUGUAUUAAAGGAAAAAUUAUUUUUAAAAACGGUAACCUGGCACACCGAAAUCAAUGUCAGGUGGCGACUAUGAGUUAUUUCCUUUUGAACACAAUUUUGUCACUUUUUUUUUUAAUUUAAAACCCUUUUCAAGCUUUACAAAAUCUUUUUAUUAUUUUAAGAGGGUUACUGAAGUUUGUAAAAAAGGGGUGUGACAUCUCUGGCGACUCUGCUGGGGAACUUGCAGGUUCGAGGUAGUACUUAAUCUUGUUGGUUUUUAGGAUAUUCAGUUGAGGUUUUUAUGUGUUUUGUUUUCUCUUUAUUUUGUUUAUGUCGUUUUAUUAUUUGCUAGUUGCUUAUUGGUUUUUACAGUUUUCCUUUAUGUGUUACUGCUUUAUAAUUUAUCAUCAUUUGCAUAACCAUGGAUCUUCUUUCUGCAACAAGUCUUCCGGAGUAUGUUUGAGCGUACACGGUCUUUUCGUGAGUCAUCCGUGUCUUUAGGGGGGUGGCGUGGAGCAGCCGCCAUCGACCACGUGUCGCCCCGAAUUGCCUUGUCUAGUGAACCCCAAAUUUAGGUCAGCCUGUAGGUCAUUCUUAUUUGCAUCAUGUCAUUUGGACCUAGUAGGGCUCGGUCCCAGGCACCGUGUCCCUUUGUAGGAAGCCUAUCCAAACUUUGUCAAAAAUGGGCCCGUGGCCCAAAAAGACAUUCAAUCAUCCCUAUGUGAUACAUGUUUCAUCUUUGAGGGUAAAAAGGUCAUUUGGCAGACCGAUGUUUGGGAAAGAAGGGUGAAAAAUGAAGCAAGUAGGACCCAGUUAUAUUUUUCUUUCAUAACUUUUUCCAAAAAACAAAAGACCAAAAAAAAUGAAAAUGAAAAAAUCCAAAAAACGAUUUUGCACUUUCCCAUCAUUUUCCAAAAAAGAAAAAAGAAAAAAAAUCCAAAAGGAUUUUACACUUUCCCAUCAUUUUCCAAAAAAUCAAAAAAAGAAAGAAAAAGAAAAUCCAAAAAGAUUUUACACUUUCCCAUCAUUUUCCAAAAAUUCAAAACAAAAAGAGAACAAGAAAAUACAAAAAGAUUUUACAUUUUCCAUCAUUUUUCAAAAAGACAAAAAAUAUAUAUUUUUCCAAAUUAGUGUCUUUUUUUAGCUUUCUCCCAUAUCCAAUAUUCCCGAACUACGCAUACCUGAUUCUCGUCUUUCGGAGCGGGAUACGUAGGCAACCCACAUAGGGUUCGGUCUUCCUAGUAAGUCUUAGGUUCUUGGCUUUGUGGGGUCUUAGCCAAAUCUUGCAUGUUUAGCUACUCCUGGCCAUAUCAGCCGUUUUUGCGAAAUAGGUCAUUUCUGCAAAUUAAUUUUUGGGCCAUGAUUAUUGGGAGUUGAAUCCAUAUAAGCAUUAGUAAGGUAUUUUCAUAUCUGAGUAGUCACCCUUGUUGAUUUUGCACUUAUAGCCACUCUUGACUACGUAGAUUAAUUUUCAAAAAAUAGCCCAAUCGUGUCUUGCAUGUGUCCAACAAGAGGUGUUGUGGUGUCGCAUGUGUCUUCAGUCACUAACUCUAUUUGAUCUCAUUUUUCCCAUUCAGGUAUGCAUCAAUUUGCUAGAGUUUGAGCAUGACAAAUACCCCAGGACAAUCCUAGUCAAGACUAUUGCAUGCACGAGCUGCUUGAGGAAAUUUUUUUAUUUUUUAGUCUAUUUUAUGUUGUCUUUUAAUUAUUAGUCUUGUAUAGUAGUAUCGAGUCUGUCAGUCUGGUUAAGAGUUUCGAGUCUUUUGUUAUAGUACUUCCUGUUUUGUAUUUAAAAAAAAGUUAUAAAUGGAAAAUUCAAAAAGAUUUUUGUUUCUUAAUUUAUUUUGUCCAUUACUUUUCUAGAACUCCUUGAUCUGAUUCAUGAGGGACAUGAUAUGUAGGCAACCUACAUAGGGUUCGAUCGAAUCAUUUUGUUUUGAAAAAAAAAAA